AUCCCCUGGAAUUGGGGGAUAAACGUUAGCCGAAAGUUACGCUUAUACCGCAUACGAUCCUAAGGAUUGAAAGUGGGGGAUCGCAAGGACUUCAUUGCUCGUGGAGCGGCCGAUAUCUGAAUUACCUAGUUGGUAGGGUAAAAGCCUACCAAAGGCAUCGAUCAGUAGUUGGUCUGAGAGGACGACCAGCCACACUGGAAACUGAGACACGGUCCAGACUCUACGGGAGGCAGCAGUGGGGAAUUUUUGGACAAUGGGCGAAAGCCUGAUCCAGCAAUGCCCGCGUGAGUGAAGAAGGCCUUCGGGUUGUAAAGCUCUUUUUGUCAGGGAAGAAACGGUGAGAGCUAAUAUCUCUUGCUAAUGACGGUACCUGAAGAAUAAGCACCGGCUAACUACGUGCCAGCAGCCGCGGUAAUACGUAGGGUGCAAGCGUUAAUCGGAAUUACUGGGCGUAAAGCGUGCGCAGGCGGUUUUGUAAGUCUGAUGUGAAAUCCCCGGGCUCAACCUGGGAAUUGCAUUGGAGACUGCAAGGCUAGAAUCUGGCAGAGGGGGGUAGAAUUCCACGUGUAGCAGUGAAAUGCGUAGAUAUGUGGAGGAACACCGAUGGCGAAGGCAGCCCCCUGGGUCAAGAUUGACGCUCAUGCACGAAAGCGUGGGGAGCAAACAGGAUUAGAUACCCUGGUAGUCCACGCCCUAAACGAUGUCUACUAGUUGUCGGGUCUUAAUUGACUUGGUAACGCAGCUAACGCGUGAAGUAGACCGCCUGGGGAGUACGGUCGCAAGAUUAAAACUCAAAGGAAUUGACGGGGACCCGCACAAGCGGUGGAUGAUGUGGAUUAAUUCGAUGCAACGCGAAAAACCUUACCUACCCUUUGACAUGGAUUGGAAUCCCGGAAGAGAUUUGGGAGUUUUGAAAAAGAGAUUCC
rnacentral:rRNA from 1 species